CGGAGGGUCCAAGCGUUAUCCGGAAUCAUUGGGUUUAAAGGGUCCGUAGGCGGCCUUAUAAGUCAGUGGUGAAAUCUCCUAGCUCAACUAGGAAACUGCCAUUGAUACUGUAGGGCUUGAAUUUUUGUGAAGUAACUAGAAUAUGUAGUGUAGCGGUGAAAUGCUUAGAUAUUACAUGGAAUGCCAAUUGCGAAGGCAGGUUACUAACAAACGAUUGACGCUGAUGGACGAAAGCGUGGGGAGCGAACAGGAUU
rnacentral:rRNA from 1 species